rnacentral:rRNA from 1 species
AGAGUUUGAUCCUGGCUCAGGAUGAACGCUAGCGGCAGGCUUAAUACAUGCAAGUCGAGGGGUAUAAAGUAGCUUGCUAUUUAGAGACCGGCAAACGGGUGCGGAACACGUACACAAUCUAACCUUAUCUGGGGGAUAGCCCAUAGAAAUGUGGAUUAAUACCCCAUAGUAUUACGGAGUGGCAUCAUUUUGUAAUUAAAGAAUUUCGGAUAAGGAUGAGUGUGCGUCUGAUUAGGUAGUUGGCGGGGUAACGGCCCACCAAGCCGACGAUCAGUAGCUGAUGUGAGAGCAUGAUCAGCCACACGGGCACUGAGACACGGGCCCGACUCCUACGGGAGGCAGCAGUAAGGAAUAUUGGUCAAUGGACGGAAGUCUGAACCAGCCAUGCCGCGUGAAGGACGAAGGCGUUCUGCGUUGUAAACUUCUUUUAUCAGAGAAGAAACCACCGAUUUCUAUUGGUGUUGACGGUAUCUGAUGAAUAAGCACCGGCUAACUCCGUG